AUACGUAGGGUGCGAGCGUUGUCCGGAAUUACUGGGCGUAAAGAGCUCGUAGGUGGUUUGUCGCGUCGUCUGUGAAAUUCCGGGGCUUAACUCCGGGCGUGCAGGCGAUACGGGCAUAACUUGAGUACUGUAGGGGAGACUGGAAUUCCUGGUGUAGCGGUGAAAUGCGCAGAUAUCAGGAGGAACACCGGUGGCGAAGGCGGGUCUCUGGGCAGUAACGGACGCUGAGGAGCGAAAGCAUGGGUAGCGAACAGGAUUAGAGACCCUGGUAGUCCAUGCCGUAAACGGUGGGCGCUAGGUGUAGGGGUCUUCCACGACUUCUGUGCCGUAGCUAACGCAUUAAGCGCCCCGCCUGGGGAGUACGGCCGCAAGGCUAAAACUCAAAGGAAUUGACGGGG
rnacentral:rRNA from 1 species